rnacentral:rRNA from 1 species
UACGUAGGCAGCGAGCGUUGUUCGGAGUUACUGGGCGUAAAGGGUGUGUAGGCGGUUGUUUAAGUUUGGUGUGAAAUCUCCCGGCUCAACUGGGAGGGUGCGCCGAAUACUGAAUGACUCGAGUGUGGGAGAGGUGAGUGGAAUUCCUGGUGUAGCGGUGAAAUGCGUAGGUAUCAGGAGGAACACCGGUGGUGUAGACGGCUCACUGGACCAUAACUGACGCUGAGACACGAAAGCGUGGGUAGCAAACAGG